rnacentral:rRNA from 1 species
UUGCUUGUUCCNAAAGAUUAAGCCAUGCAUGUCUAAGUACAGGCCGACCCAAGGCGAAACCGCAAAUGGCUCAUUAAAUCAGUCAUGAUUCAUUGGAUGUUGAUGAAUCUUUUACUCGGAUAACCGUGGUAAUUCUAGAGCUAAUACGUGCAAUCGAGCUCCGACCCCGCCAUUCCAGGCGGGGGAAGGGCGCAUUUAUUAGAAUCAUAAACCGAGCGGACUGCGGUCCGUCUCAUACGAGGUUGUGAUGACUCUGAAUAACUACGCCGAGCGCUGAGGCCUUCGUGCCGGCGCCGUAUCCUCCGAGUGUCUGCCUUAUCAGCUUUCGAUUGUAGGUUAUACGCCUACAAUGGCUGUAACGGGUAACGGGGAAUCAGGGUUCGAUUCCGGAGAGGGAGCCUGAGAAACGGCUACCACAUCUAAGGAAGGCAGCAGGCACGCAAAUUACCCACUCCCAGCACGGGGAGGUAGUGACGAUAAAUAACGAUGCGGGACUCUUCCGAGGCCUCGCAAUCGGAAUGAGUUCACUCUAAAUACUUGGACGAGGAUCCAUUGGAGGGCAAGUCUGGUGCCAGCAGCCGCGGUAAUUCCAGCUCCAAUAGCGUAUAUUAAAGUUGUUUGCGGUUAANNNNNNNNNNNNAAAGCUGAAACUUAAAGGAAUUGACGGAAGGNCACCACCAGGAGUGGAGCCUGCGGCUUAAUUUGACUCAACACGGGAAACCUCACCAGGCCCAGACACCGGAAGGAUUGACAGAUUGAGAGCUCUUUCUCGAUUCGGUGGGUGGUGGUGCAUGGCCGUUCUUAGUUGGUGGAGCGAUCUGUCUGGUUGAUUCCGAUAACGAACGAGACUCUACCCUACUAACUAGUCGGUGGAUCGUAUCCCGAGACGGGUUCCCCUGUCGGGGGGUUCGGUGCGGUACGUUGGCCCUCCGGCCGCGGCGUCCUUCCUUCUAAAGCGGCGAGGAAAUGUCGUCCUUCAUCCCCCUCCCGCUCGGUUCGUUUCGGCGUUCAGGGUUGUGGAGAAGGGAGGGAGGCGGCACUACUCGAGCGCGUAGGGGGGCCAAAAUGGGGCGUCGCGCGUCGUUAGAGGCGUCGCGUCCGCGCUCGCUACAUUCCCCGUGCAGGGCCCAGCGAGGGGCGUCCACCGCAACAUCUUCUUAAANGGAUC